rnacentral:rRNA from 1 species
CGUGUAGGCGGCUUGGUCAGUCAGAUGUGAAAGCCCUGGGCUCAACCCAGGAAGUGCAUUUGAAACUGCCUCGCUUGAGUAUGGGAGAGGAGAGUGGAAUUCCCAGUGUAGAGGUGAAAUUCGUAGAUAUUGGGAGGAACACCCGUGGCGAAAGCGACUCUCUGGACCAAUACUGACGCUGAGACGCGAAAGCGUGGGGAGCAAACA